rnacentral:rRNA from 1 species
AACGAACGCUGGCGGCAGGCUUAACACAUGCAAGUCGAACGCGCCCUUCGGGGCGGGUGGCAGACGGGUGAGUAACGCGUGGGAACCUACCUUUUGGUACGGAAUAACUCAGGGAAACUUGAGCUAAUACCGUAUAAGCCCCUCGGGGGAAAGAUUUAUCGCCAAAGGAUGGGCCCGCGUAGGAGUAGCUAGUUGGUGGGGUAAUGGCCUACCAAGGCGACGAUACGUAGCUGGUCUGAGAGGAUGAUCAGCCACACUGGGACUGAGACACGGCCCAGACUCCUACGGGGUGCAGCAGUGGGGAAUAUUGGACAAUGGGGGCAACCCUUAUCCAGCCAUGCCGCGUGAGUGAUGAAGGCCUUAGGGUUGUAAACCUCUUUCGCCGGUGAAGAUAAUGACGGUAACCGGAGAAGAAGCCCCGGCUAACUUCGUGCCAGCAGCCGCCGUAAAAC